rnacentral:rRNA from 1 species
GGAGUUUGGUCCGUGUCUCAGUACCAAUGUGGGGGACCUUCCUCUCAGAACCCCUACUGAUCGUCGCCUUGGUGGGCCGUUACCCCGCCAACAAGCUAAUCAGACGCAUCCCCAUCCUAUAGCGGUGAACCUUUGCUUCUCGUCAGAUGCCAUCAAAGAAGAACAUAGAGCAUUAAUUCGACUUUCGCCGGGCUAUUCUCUACUAUAGGGAAGGUUGGAUACGCGUUACUCACCCGUGCGCCGGUCGCCAUCAAUCUUAGCAAGCUAAGAUCAUGAUGCCCCUCGACUUGCAUGUGUUAAGCCUGUAGCUAGCGUUCAUC